AUUGAACGCUGGCGGCAGGCCUAACACAUGCAAGUCGAACGAGUGGCGGACUGGUGAGUAAUGUCUGGGAAACUGCCCGAUGGAGGGGGAUAACUACUGGAAACGGUAGCUAAUACCGCAUACCAUCGGAUGUGCCCAGAUGGGAUUAGCUAGUAGGUGGGGUAACGGCUCACCUAGGCGACGAUCCCUAGCUGGUCUGAGAGGAUGACCAGCCACACUGGAACUGAGACACGGUCCAGAAUCCUACGGGAGGCAGCAGUGGGGAAUAUUGAACAAGGGACGCAAGCCUGAUACAGCCAUGCCGCGUGUAUGAAGAAGGCCGUCGGGUUGUAAAGUACUUUCAGGGAGGAGGCGUGACACGCAGAGGAAGCAACGGCUAACGCCGGGCCAGCAGCCGCGGUAAUAC
rnacentral:rRNA from 1 species